ensembl:miRNA
UGAGGCAGGAGAAUUGCUUGAACCCAGGAGGUGGAGGUUGCAGUGAGCCGAGAUUGCGCCACUGCACUCCAGCCUGGGUGACAGAGCGAGACUCCAUCUCA